GCGGGGGGGGGUGCUUAACACAUGCAGUCGAACGGGAUCCAUCAGGCUUUGCUUGGUGGUGAGAGUGGCGAACGGGUGAGUAAUGCGUGACCGACCUGCCCCAUACACCGGAAUAGCUCCUGGAAACGGGUGGUAAUGCCGGAUGCUCCGACUCCUCGCAUGGGGUGUCGGGAAAGAUUUCAUCGGUAUGGGAUGGGGUCGCGUCCUAUCAGGUAGUCGGCGGGGUAACGGCCCACCGAGCCUACGACGGGUAGCCGGCCUGAGAGGGCGACCGGCCACAUUGGGACUGAGAUACGGCCCAGACUCCUACGGGAGGCAGCAGUGGGGAAUAUUGCACAAUGGGCGCAAGCCUGAUGCAGCGACGCCGCGUGCGGGAUGACGGCCUUCGGGUUGUAAACCGCUUUUGAUCGGGAGCAAGCCUUCGGGUGAGUGUACCUUUCGAAUAAGCACCGGCUAACUACGUGCCAGCAGCCGCGGUAAUACGUAGGGUGCAAGCGUUAUCCGGAAUUAUUGGGCGUAAAGGGCUCGUAGGCGGUUCGUCGCGUCCGGUGUGAAAGUCCAUCGCUUAACGGUGGAUCUGCGCCGGGUACGGGCGGGCUGGAGUGCGGUAGGGGAGACUGGAAUUCCCGGUGUAACGGUGGAAUGUGUAGAUAUCGGGAAGAACACCAAUGGCGAAGGCAGGUCUCUGGGCCGUUACUGACGCUGAGGAGCGAAAGCGUGGGGAGCGAACAGGAUUAGAUACCCUGGUAGUCCACGCCGUAAACGGUGGAUGCUGGAUGUGGGGCCCGUUCCACGGGUUCCGUGUCGGAGCUAACGCGUUAAGCAUCCCGCCUGGGGAGUACGGCCGCAAGGCUAAAACUCAAAGAAAUUGACGGGGGCCCGCACAAGCGGCGGAGCAUGCGGAUUAAUUCGAUGCAACGCGAAGAACCUUACCUGGGCUUGACAUGUUCCCGACAGCCGUAGAGAUAUGGCCUCCCUUCGGGGCGGGUUCACAGGUGGUGCAUGGUCGUCGUCAGCUCGUGUCGUGAGAUGUUGGGUUAAGUCCCGCAACGAGCGCAACCCUCGCCCUGUGUUGCCAGCACGUCAUGGUGGGAACUCACGGGGGACCGCCGGGGUCAACUCGGAGGAAGGUGGGGAUGACGUCAGAUCAUCAUGCCCCUUACGUCCAGGGCUUCACGCAUGCUACAAUGGCCGGUACAACGGGAUGCGACACGGCGACGUGGAGCGGAUCCCUGAAAACCGGUCUCAGUUCGGAUUGGAGUCUGCAACCCGACUCCAUGAAGGCGGAGUCGCUAGUAAUCGCGGAUCAGCAACGCCGCGGUGAAUGCGUUCCCGGGCCUUGUACACACCGCCCGUCAAGUCAUGAAAGUGGGUAGCACCCGAAGCCGGUGGCCUAACCCUUUGUGGAUGGAGCCGUCUAAGGGGAACCCGGG
rnacentral:rRNA from 1 species